rnacentral:lncRNA from 1 species
CCGGGGCGGGGCUAAGGGUAGGGGUGGCCCCUCGGUGGCAGCUCCGUGCGCCGCCCGGCCUGUCGCCCACACCGCGCGGUGCGCUCCGUCUGCGUGUUCGUCCACCUGGGCGCCCCUCUGCGGCCGAGUCCCAGCCCCGCACUCCGGGACCUGCCCGUGCUCCUCGCCUCCGCGGCCCCUUCGGCGGGGGAACCAGUACAGAGGACCCUCGCCCAGCGAAAAGCCCUCCCAGGCCUCGCGGAUAAGCGCCGGGCGGCGAGAGUGCCCCGGGGGUCCCGCUGACCCAGCGCAGCACAGGGCAGCCGCCGGCCCCGCUCUCGUCCUCGGGACCACCCCACCACCAGCACCACGUGCGCAGCGGGUCCAGCCCCAAGGUUUCCUGGAUGUCCCCGAGUCCUCGCCUGCGCCUGGCGAUCAGUGCCUCUGCCAGGCCCAGAGGUGGCUGGAAGAGGCUGCUCCCUAGCAGAAGACGUCAUUCCGAUGUGGUGUGCCCAGAAGAUGCAGAGGGUGAGGAGAGCGGCUCAGGAACUCAUGCUACCUGGCAGCCCUGGCCGCGGGCGUGUCCCUGGUUUCCCGGUGGUUCCCCAACCUCCGGAAAGGAGAGAACCAGUCCCCCGGCCCCUCCCGCCCACCAGGAUUCCGUCUGUAAGACGGAAGCCAGGAGAUGGCCAGGAAGGACAACCUGAACGCAGGCAAGUGGAGUGUCUUGACCCAGUAACAGACAUCAGAGGCCACCCAUCCAGGCGGAAAGCCAUCUCCAGUGGAGGGCCGAUCAGGGGCCAUCUGCGAGGGCAGGUUGCUCCUUCUGUCCGAGGCGGGCUUGGAAAGGUCUGUGCAGGACGGUGCCAAGGCCUGGCCAGGGUUUGGAGCCAUUCAGAGCGCAGGCCCCUAACGGGUCACUGGGCCAAGGUGCUUGCGGGCUUGUGGCCUGAAGACCUUUGUCCUGGGACCGACACCAGCCUGGUGUCCUGGUGGCAUACCACUUGGGGACCCUUCUUCUUCUGGCUCAGAGGGAGCAAAGGCUGCGUGCGUUAGAACAACAGAACGACGAGAAGUGGGAAGACCUGUCCGUGGACAUCCAACUUAUGGAGGAAGGCACGCCGGACUCCGAGGGGAAGCUGGAAUUGACCAAAACAGCUCUUAACACUUUCGGGGAAAUUAGUGAAAUCUGUCUAAGGGAGUGUCUGAGCUGAAGGAGUCCCUGAAACUGUGUGCAGAAGAAAUCAAAGCUGGAAAACCUGCUUGUCAUCUUGGAAGGACACGCUUUAAAGAACUUGCCAGAGGACCAGGGCUCCCUGGACGUGGCCUGAGAUGAGGGCAGGGAGAGGGGACACCAAGGCUCCAGGUGCACCUCCUCCUGGGCGGUGGGCCCCUCAGCUCCUGGGCCUGUGGCUGGAGCUCAGGGAGUCACCCCUCAAGUGCACCAUACCUGAGUCGAGAGCCACCUGAACCACAAGACCUAGAAACUCCAAGCCAUCCUGGCUUCUCCUACGAGUCACUCUCAGGCCUGAAGCUCUUAUUCCGGAGACACAAAGAUAAGUCCUUGGUGGGCUGGUGUCCCACCCCGUGGAGGUGCCGGGGCUCCUUCUCCUGUCGUCUCUCAUAACUAUACUUAUCCCCACGCUGACCUGUGCCCCCUGGAGUGCCUGUGUCUACAGCACCACCAGGCUACAGAGAGGCUAGUUGGUUAAACAAAAAGGGCCGAUCUGGAGUGGAGUCGAACAGGCUCUUCCCAGCCUGGUUUGGUUUCUACCACCUUUGGGGGUCCUCUUGGGGCUAUUCCGCUGCUUCCACUCUUAGGGCUUUGCAUCCUAAGCUGUCUGGUUUCCUGUGUUAGCAAAAGACUAGAAUCUAUUAAACUCCAAAUGGUAUUAACGAGGGAUAUGAGAGGUUAGGAGUCCAACUGGAUGACAAGCAAACCUACCUAAAAGUCAUUGGGCGUAAGCCCUGCUCCUCCACGGGCCCCUGGGACGCAGCCCUGCUCAGCUGGAAGUAGUUACGGAAGAUGCACCUUCA